AUAAAUACACACAUGUAGACAUAUACUAUAAGCAUUACUGUUAUUUCUCUCUUCCUGUUUUCUCUUAGCACAUAGAUUUAAUCUUGACCCACAAGUUGUGGCAUUUUAUUCUGAGUCUCUUCGGGAACCCACUGGGAGGGGUCAGUGAGAAUAAAAGCAGUGUGGUGCUGAGCUGCUGCCGGGUGACAGCACCGCAGUCCUCGUGGUGCCCAACGUGGGGCCUGAAGGGUGCAGAUCCCCACAGCUGUGAGCAGAAUGUGUUCCAACACAACUGCUCUCAGCAGUACAGCAGCCUCAGAACUGCUGCUCACAGCACUGAGCUGUUCCUUCCCUCUGGGCCAUCCCAGCUCUCAGGGCUGUUUCCUUCCCUGCGCUGGCACUGCUUGAUGCAGUCACUGAACCCAGAGGUGAAUUUCCACCUCAAGGGAAGCAACCUAUGGCACCUACCAACUUGUGCUAAAGGGAAAGGCUGCAGCAUGUGCGUAUCUAUACCCCAAAUUGGAGAAUAGGAGAAGCAAAGCCCAGAUCAGAAGCCCAGCGGGUGCUAUUUCCUGGCACCGGAUGCAGAUACCGGCAGGUCUGCCACAAAGCAAGAAGUGGCUCUGGGGUUUGUCAUUUUGGGGACAGUCUUGUGAACUUGUGAUCUAUGGACGGGGAAAAUAGCAGCGUGGAUUUCAGGCAUUCUGCAAGUGGUUUUUCUCCUGCUGAGAAGCACGAUGCUCCCACCAUCUGCCCGCGCUGGCACCGGGUCUUCCUGAAAGCCACUGCUCUGGGGCUGCUGCUGCUACUGCUGACUGCGCUCGGCGUGCAGGAGUUUCCUGGAAAGCAACACCACAUCCAAGCACUCCCCAGCACAGCGCUGAGAUGCGGGGGAGGAAUGGGGUGGAGCCGUGUGUGACCUCUUCCCUUCUGCAGUAUCUUUACCGAUCCACCAGGGGCAGCAACCUGGAAGGACCACGGAGGAGCAGCUGCGAGGGAAGCCGUAGGGAAGGAGCCUGGGAUGGGGGAUAGCACUCGAGGUUGUGGGGACGUAUGGGGGGGGGGGGGGAAUCUUGGGGAGGCACAUUUUUGGGGGCACUCGACAGAUGUGGGGGUGGGGAACAGAGGGCAGUCUCCCUGGGGGUUCCCACAGGGCGGGGGUACUUGUGUGGGUGUCAGGAGAA
rnacentral:lncRNA from 7 species